ensembl:lncRNA
CCACAAACCAAUGGAGAACUAUUUCAGAUUUAACCUACUCGACCUGUUUCAACCAGAACUGGUUUCUCUUGCAGUCAGGUAGGAGAUAAAAGGAAGAAGUGGAUGCAAAAGGCAUCUAUGACUUUCCCGGGGAGUGACUUGAAACAGGUGAUGAAAAGGUAUCAUGAGUGAGAAGACAGAUUAAAGAAUUGAAACAAGAGAGAAGGUCAUCCCUGGUGGUCCAGUGGCUAAGACUCUGUGCUCCCAAUGCAGGGUCCUGGGUUCAGUCCCUGGCCAGGUAACGAAGAUCCCACAAGCUGCAUGGCG